rnacentral:lncRNA from 1 species
UCUUGAUGACAUCUUUGUUUUGGACUUCUAAUGACAUGAUGAAGAAAGUGAAAAACAAGCCACAGAUGAGUGGGCACGUUGGGCCAAGCACUGUUCUAGACAUAAAUAUUUCAUAGAGAUUCAUCAACACAAGUUGCAAUAAAACACGAAAAAGAUUGAUGUAAUGUUUCUGUGAUAGGCAGCCUCUAAGAUGAUCUACAGAUCUCUACUUCUUGAUAUUCAUCAUCUUACUGUAGGCUGGUCCACCUAGCAUCUCUAAGCAGGAUACUGAAAAAAAGUAUCGAAUGAGCUGCCGCUUCU